CCUACGGGGGGCACCAGUGGGGAAUAUUGGACAAUGGGGGAAACCCUGAUCCAGCGACGCCGCGUGAACGAAGAAGUCCUUCGGGAUGUAAAGUUCUUUUAAAUGGGAAGAAAGCAAUGACGGUACCAUAGGAAUAAGCCCCGGCUAACUACGUGCCAGCAGCCGCGGUAAGACGUAGGGGGCAAGCGUUACCCGGAAUCACUGGGCGUAAAGGGAGCGUAGGCGGUUAUACAGGUCAUACGUUAAAGACUCCGGCUCAACCGGAGAGAUGCGUAUGAAACCGUAUGACUUGAGGAUAUCAGAGGAAAAGGGAAUUACCAUUGUAGGGGUGAAAUCCGUAGAGAGUGGUAAGAAUGCCGGUGGCGAAGGCGCUUUUCCGGGGUAUACCUGACGCUGAGGCUCGAAAGCCAGGGGAGCAAACCGGAUUAGAUACCCUGGUAGUC
rnacentral:rRNA from 1 species